CCUACGGGGGGCAGCAGUGAGGAAUAUUGGUCAAUGGACGAGAGUCUGAACCAGCCAAGUAGCGUGAAGGAUGACUGCCCUAUGGGUUGUAAACUUCUUUUAUAUGGGAAUAAAAUGUUCCACGUGUGGGAUUUUGUAUGUACCAUAUGAAUAAGGAUCGGCUAACUCCGUGCCAGCAGCCGCGGUAAUACGGAGGAUCCGAGCGUUAUCCGGAUUUAUUGGGUUUAAAGGGAGCGUAGGUGGGUUUAUAAGUUAGUUGUGAAAGUUUGCGGCUCAACCGUAAAACUGCAGUUGAUACUGGCAGUCUUGAGUACAGUAGCGGUAGGCGGAAUUCGUGGUGUAGCGGUGAAAUGCUUAGAUAUCACGAAGAACUCCGAUUGCGAAGGCAGUUCACUGGACUGCAACUGACACUGAGGCUCGAAAGUGUGGGUAUCAAACAGGAUUAGAUACCCUAGUAGUC
rnacentral:rRNA from 1 species